UGAGGAAUAUUGGUCAAUGGACGAGAGUCUGAACCAGCCAAGUAGCGUGCAGGAUGACGGCCCUAUGGGUUGUAAACUGCUUUUGUUUGGGAAUAAUCGACAUUACGUGUAAUGUUUUGCAUGUACCAUUCGAAUAAGGACCGGCUAAUUCCGUGCCAGCAGCCGCGGUAAUACGGAAGGUCCAGGCGUUAUCCGGAUUUAUUGGGUUUAAAGGGAGUGUAGGCGGUUGGUUAAGCGUGUUGUGAAAUGUAGAUGCUCAACAUCUGACUUGCAGCGCGAACUGGCUGACUUGAGUACACACAACGUAGGCGGAAUUCAUGGUGUAGCGGUGAAAUGCUUAGAUAUAUGGAGGAACACCGGUGGCGAAAGCGGCUCUCUGGUCUGUAACUGACGCUGAGGCUCGAAAGCGUGGGGAGCGAACAGG
rnacentral:rRNA from 1 species